rnacentral:snRNA from 1 species
AUACUUACUUGGCAAGGGAGAUACCAUGAUCAUGAAGAUGGUUUUCCCAUGGGGAGACUCAUCCAUUGCACUGUGGGUGUGCUGACCCCUGCUAUUUCCCAAAUGCUGGAAACUCAACUGCAUAAUUUGUGGUAGCGGGGGACUGCAUUUGUGCUUUCCCCUG